GGCUAGCGUUGUUCGGAAUUACUGGGCGUAAAGCGCACGUAGGCGGAUUGUUAAGUUAGGGGUGAAAUCCCGGGGCUCAACCCCGGAACUGCCUUUAAUACUGGCAAUCUCGAGUCCGAGAGAGGUGAGUGGAAUUCCGAGUGUAGAGGUGAAAUUCGUAGAUAUUCGGAGGAACACCAGUGGCGAAGGCGGCUCACUGGCUCGGUACUGACGCUGAGGUGCGAAAGCGUGGGGAGCAAACAGG
rnacentral:rRNA from 1 species